rnacentral:rRNA from 1 species
GACAGAGGUGCCAAGCGUUAGGCGGAAUCACUGGGCUUAAAGCGUGUGUAGGCGGAUCGUUAAGUACCUUGUGAAAUCCCACGGCUCAACCGUGGAACUGCUUGGUAUACUGGCGGUCUUGAGCCACCUAGGGGCAACUGGAACAAGCGGUGGAGCGGUGAAAUGCUUAGAUAUCGUCCAGAACACCGAUAGCGAAGGCAGCUUACUAAGGAGUAACUGACGCUGAGGCACGAAAGUGUGGGGAUCAAACAGG